AGUUGGGUUGUAAUGGUUAAUG
rnacentral:siRNA from 1 species